rnacentral:lncRNA from 1 species
UGAUGCAGAUGAUGCCACGGCCCUUAGACUCUCUCAACAUUCAAUUUCUCAUGUGUUGGCUUUUUCAGAUCCCCCCUUCUGCAAGAAAGGCUCUUUGCAACUGGGUCAGAAUGGCGGCAGCGGAGCAUCGUCAUUCUUCAGGAUUGCCCUACUGGCCCUACCUCACAGCUGAAACUUUAAAAAACAGGAUGGGCCACCAGCCACCUCCUCCAACUCAACAACAUUCUAUAACUGAUAACUCCCUGAGCCUCAAGACACCUCCCGAGUGUCUGCUCACUCCCCUUCCACCCUCAGCGGAUGAUAAUCUCAAGACACCUCCCGAGUGUCUGCUCACUCCCCUUCCACCCUCAGCUCCACCCUCAGCGGAUGAUAAUCUCAAGACACCUCCC